UAGGUCUGAUGGUUCUGUUUACAUCCGUCUUCACGAGAGGUUUGCCUGUCUCGCUUGUGCAGAAAACAUUGCUCCAGAUCCAAUCGACUGGGUUUCUGUCCCUUCGCCUAGUUUUUAAGGUUAUUUAUUUAAAUGUCUAAUGUAUUUUAUUGUAACAGACAUUGUUUUGCCAACAUUGCCUAUUCAAUGGCACUUCACAAUCUAGUUUAAAAGAAAAAUAAAACAUUUUAAAAAAUUGAGUGAAAAAUCUUUCAGCAAAUUAUGUAUCACAUCAUAGUAAUGCAUUAAUAUGAUUGGUAAUAGG
rnacentral:lncRNA from 1 species